CCUACGGGGGGCUGCAGUGAGGAAUCUUGCGCAAUGGGGGCAACCCUGACGCAGCGACACAGUGUGGAGGAUGAAGGUCUUCGGAUCGUAAACUCCUUUUAUGAGGGAAGAAUAGAUGACGGUACCUCAUGAAUAAGCACCUGCUAACUACGUGCCAGAAGCAUCGGUGAUGCGUAGGGUGCGAACGUUAUCCGGAUUUAUUGGGCGUAAAGAGAAGCGUAGGUGUUUCUGUAAGUCUUUAGUUAAAGACCACGGCUCAACCGUGGAGCAGCUUUGGAAACUACAGAAAUUGAGACAGGAAGGGGCGAAUGGAAUUCCCAGUGGAGCGGUGAAAUGCGUUGAUAUUGGGAGGAACAUCAGUGGCGAAGGCGAUUCGCUGGUCCUUGUCUGACACUAAGGCUCGAAAGCGUGGGUAGCAAAAAGGCUUAGAUACCCGAGUAGUC
rnacentral:rRNA from 1 species